GUCCAUAUAUAUUUUUAACCCUAAAACUAACCCAUUAGAAGGACCUGAUUUAUACUAACCUUUUGCCCAUCAAUUUAUGUGGUGUCUUAAUGAUCUUCAAUUUUCAAAUCUAGAUCAUUCAAACUUAAUUCAAAAUUAAGUGUGUGAAACGUGUGUUUCAGUCUGUAGAACUAUUCUAUAAAGAUUUCAGGUGAAGCAUACCAUAUAUUUUAAUCCA
rnacentral:lncRNA from 1 species